UCAUUUGCAUGUCCAUGACAAAGUGAUAUUUAGAUGUUUGAUCUAUGUCCGGUGAUGUUCAUUCUUUUGAUCCAAAAGCAAAUAUGGAAUAAAAUGACCCAGAACUAAGUUUUGCAAUUAAUCAAUUUUGCCAAGGAGUGCAAAAGGAUAGUGUGCGGGUGUGAUGAGUGCGUAUUUUUGCCCACAUUUAUGCUUUAAAAUUCAAAUUUUUGAUGAAAUAUUUGUGCUUAAAUGGGUGAUUUAAAGAGAAUAUGUGUGAAGUUGAAUUGUUGGGUUUUGGAAUUAAAGAGGCUUAAAAAGUGAUUUUAAUUGCAUAAAUUAUUCUUGGAUGUUCUAAUAUUUAUUUAUGCAGUUGAAGUUAGAGUUUUAUUGGUCCAAAUUGCAAUUUAAGGUCCAAAAUCAAGUUUUAUUUGAAAAAUAAUGUCCAAAUAGGCCAAACAGUCAGAUUUUACCCUUGCACCCCCAAAUUUCUCUACAUGCACCCCUCUCUUCUAAACCAGGCCAACAACCAAGCCUAAAACACUAAGCCUUUUAUAUCUAUAACCCCUAAUUUCCUAUACACACCCUUCCUACCACUAAUUAAACCAGAUUACAUCAGAUUUAGCCACAUGGCAGUCCGCCACUAAUAGAUCCAACCACCCAGAUGAUGCCACGUCACUGAUCCUACUGCACACCAAAUAAACCACUCAGAACAUGCCACCUAGCCCCUCUUGCCACGUCAUCACCAUCCCUAAUAGAAACCCUAAUUCCUCGUCCUAACCCUAGCCGCCGCCUCCUCCAUGGUAGCCACCUAGCCACCUUUAGUGACCACCUAGACGCCGGCCACCACAUCGCGCAACCAACCACGGUCUCGCCGGCCACCAUCAACACCGAGAAACCCAGCGUUGCCUCAGUCUCAGUGCCGCCAUCCUUCAUCAACGACGGCCACCACCUGCACAACUCAACAAACUCAGAAUCACGCAAGCCUAGUAGAUUCGAAUCAUCUCCCUCGCCAGAAUCGCGAUUUCUUCUCCAGCAAAGCCACCAGCAAGCCGUCGUGCAACCAUGGCAGCACCUCCAUCAUCUGCGAGAGGCAUCACUUCUCCACCAUCGCACACCACCACCAUCGAACCUGCAAUUAGAAAAAAUAGUAGAGAAACCAGAAUCUCGCGCCGCUGCAAAUCCGCCGCACCACCCAGAUAGCCACCG
rnacentral:lncRNA from 1 species